UGCCCCGGAACCGGACGCGUGUCGCCGCCCUUCCUGUCACAGCCACCAUGGCGGCCGCCAGGGAGCUGCCGCCGGAGCGGCCGCCCGGCGCACCCAGAGCGGCGGAGCGUCUGGGCUCUGAAGCCCCUGCGAAAGCAGACGACAGAUCCAGCCGGAGCUGGCUGCUGGACCCGAAGGGCAGCGGGUUGUGCGGCGCUGAGGCUACCGCCGUGCCCUGGAAGAUGGGUGAGCCCACGCCGACGGCCGCCUUCUUGGCGCAGUGUCUGGAGAAGGGCGCUGUGAGUCAGGAGACACUGGAUCUAACCUGUAGAAAAACCUCGUGCUUUCCAAAAUUCACAGAGAUGGAAAAAAAGGCCAACAUGCAAGCUGAACUCAGUGAGAAGAAACUGAAAGAUGAAAUUCUGCAAUUGGAGAACGAUACAGCAGACAUUGUUCACCCUUUUUACUUGGGCAAAAAAUGCAAGAUGUUGCAAGAUAUGAACAGACACUUGGAAGUUGUACUGAAAAAUAAGAAGGCUCUGAAAAAGAGGUUGAUAAAGCCCAGGUGUCAAGACAGCCUGCCUAUUGAGGCUACUUUCCACAAGUACAUAGUGCAAUUAUUGAAUGAGGCUGUGACUUUCAUUGAGAAGCUUGAAAGCCAUUUGCAGGCUGUAAGAACCAUCCCUCGAAUGCCAAACAUGAUGAAGAAUAUGGACACUGCUUUGGCGAAAACGGAGAUGCUCGUGAUGGAGCUGGAGGAGCUGGCAGACCACAUACUGAAAUGGAGAGAUGCGCAAAAGCAAGCGUAUUCCGACAGCAUCUGCAGUACUGCUGAACUGGACUUUGGCUUGUCUUGUGCCUAACAAAUCAUUUUCCUCAAGUCGUCUAGCUCUUCAAAAAACUACCUUUUUGCAGUCUUCUGUGAAAGGUGUGAAAACAGAUUUGGAUCUUCCACAGCACUGCAGUGGAAUUAUUUCGCAUGCUCUGUGAAAUGUGGAUAAACAGGACUUGGACUUCUGGAAUCACCAUCUUGUGCAUUUAUCACAGACUAUCUCCUUGUCUCACAGUGAUAGCAUAGGUCAGACAAAUAAAAGGUAUUGUAAUUUAAUACUUCCAGAAAUGAAAACUUUUCUAGUUUGGAGUUAAGACAAAUACACAUUUUUUGGCCACAUGCCAGAGUUGAGUAUAUUUUGUUUUGCUGUGUCCAUUAUUAGAGAAUUGGCUGUGGAGAUAGAGUUUAGUUAAUACCAAUGGCCACUGGUAUUUCAAUUCUUUUGGGUGGUUAAAGGAAUAAUAAAAUACUGGUUCACAGCUUGCA